UAGACAUAAAAACUGGUAGGGGGUCUUCUGCAAGAAGUUGCUGAAGUACUUGGCCCUAACGUGUUAUUUAUUAGUUUAUUUCUCUUUGCUCACUUAAUCAUUUUUGUGCAAUUUUGGACUGCUUGCUGAUUUGUGUACAUAUGAUCAUUUAAGGAGAGAUAAUAGUACCAGCAUUUGAAGUCUAAAGAUGAAAGAAUACUACAAUCAAAGCUUUGCCGAAGGCUUUCAAAAACCAUGGACCAGAAAAACGAA